GUUUCACCGUGUUAACCAGGAUGGUCUCAAUCUCCUGACCUCGUGAUCCACCCACCUCGGCCUCCCAAAGUGCUGGGAUUACAGACGUGAGCCACUGCGCCCGGCCUGUAAAAUACCAUUUAUGAGACAACUUUGGAAAUCUGAAUGUUGAUGGAUUUAUUGUCAACUUUAGAUGUAAAACUAGUAUUUUCGUUAUGUUUUUUUUAAAAGAACCCUUAUAUUUUAGAUACAUAUUGAAAUACUUAUAAUUUGAUUGAAAAUAACUGCUUCUGAGUUGAGAAUUGUUGAAGCUGGGUGAC
rnacentral:lncRNA from 10 species